GACAAACGCUGGCGGCGUGCUUAACACAUGCAAGUCGAACGGUGAACCAGGGCUUGCCCUGGGGAUCAGUGGCGAACGGGUGAGUAACACGUGGGCAACCUGCCCCUGACUCUGGGAUAACUUCGGGAAACCGAAGCUAAUACCGGAUACGACCUCUGACGGCAUCGUCGGAGGUGGAAAGUUUUUCGGUCAGGGAUGGGCCCGCGGCCUAUCAGCUUGUUGGUGGGGUAAUGGCCCACCAAGGCGACGACGGGUAGCCGGCCUGAGAGGGCGACCGGCCACACUGGGACUGAGACACGGCCCAGACUCCUACGGGAGGCAGCAGUGGGGAAUAUUGCGCAAUGGGCGAAAGCCUGACGCAGCGACGCCGCGUGAGGGAUGAAGGCCUUCGGGUUGUAAACCUCUUUCAGCAGGGAUGAAGCGAAAGUGACUGUACCUGCAGAAGAAGCACCGGCUAACUACGUGCCAGCCGCCGCCGUAAAAC
rnacentral:rRNA from 1 species